rnacentral:rRNA from 1 species
AACGAACGCUGGCGGCGCGCUUAACACAUGCAAGUCGAACGAGAAGGCGUAGCAAUACGCUUGUACAGUGGCGAACGGGUGAGUAAUACGUGGGCGACCUACCCUCGAGUGGGGAAUAACCCGCCGAAAGGCGGGCUAAUGCCGCGUACGCUUCCAUCUUUAUGGAGGUGAAGGAAAGCCGUGCCGUGGGCACGGCGCUCAAGGAUGGGCUCACGUCCUAUCAGCUUGGGUAGGUAC